UGGCGUGGUCUGAUCAGGCCACUUUCCUCGUGUUGGUCUCUACAUCAGGGCACUGGCAUCUUUAGCAAGUGUUUUAGGAAACAGGUAACAUCAUCAACAAAAGCCAACAUGUCUGCUCUUGAUCAAGCACCUCCACAUAUAUUGAGACCCCUGACGCCCACAACAUCCUGUUAGAUACUGUAUCUCCGCCAUCCCAGGACAGUAUUUGUUAAAGGGCGUGGCAAACACUAGUGCCGCACGUGUCACCAAUGGUCACCAGCUCCAGAAGGCAAGUAAGAUGUGAGCAAAUUCCAUGAACACCAGAUGGCUUCAAGGGGCUUCCAGGUAAUUUGAAGGAAAAAAAGUUUAAGGACAGAAGAUGAUGCUGAAAAAAUAAAAUCAGCUCUAAACCACCCCAGCAUGCUGGGAGAGCCUGAUGUGCUCCACGAGGAGCCCCCAAAAGCCGAGGGGAACACAGGACACUUCCCCGAAGGCACAGGGGCCUGGUCCUGCCCCUGGGCCACUCCAGGUGCAUGCAUGGGAGGCGAUGGCUGGGCAGCUGUACAUCCACCUUUAGAGACACUAUCGGGUUUCCAAAGCGGCUGCACCAUUUUACACACCCACCAGCCAGGUGAACUGGACAUCUCUUCUGCUGGUUCCAUCUGGGUUCACCCAUGGGUGGGCCCCACUCUGCAAGAGGGUCCAUAGGGCUGGACCGUCCAGGUUACUGCUGGCAAUGGUCCUGCUGGUGGCUCUGUCCCUGCUUCAUUCAGGUUGCUCUUCUCCAGCCUCCCAUGGUCCCCUCCUCACGGCUCUCCCAGUGCUUCCUCAGCACCUUUCCAGCUUCCACCUGAUGCCUGCUUUGAAAACCAGGUCAAAGUUUCAGGUCUUGGAAGAAACCAUCACACCGAGGUCAUUUCUGAGCACAGCGUGGAAGCUCCUAUGUUUGCAGGAACUAAGUACUGCAACAUUCAAGAACCAUAAGCAUCAAGCCCCAUGCAAUUUACAAGGUGAACCUACCUGAAUCCUGAUCUGAAGUUCCAGCAGGCUCCCUCUGACCUCCUCCUAGUCACUAUCUCCCUGCUUGGAUUGAUUCCUUGGAGUGGAAUUAGUAAAAAGGAUAUGAAUAUUUUUAGUCUCUUGAUAUGUUAGACUGAUUUCCAGAAGGCUUGUACCAAUUUACUCUUCUACCGACAACUGUAAGAAUACCCUUCCUCCAUCAACAGCAUUGUGUAUUAGCUUUUAAGAAAAAUCUUUUCUAAUUUAAUAGGUUAAAAAAAUUCAUCUCAUUAUUUUAAUUUGAUAUGUAUUUUUAAAUGAGGUUGAAUAUAAUUUCCCAAGCUUAUUGAUCACUUUUAUUGUUCCCUUGUGAAUGGACUGUAAAUUUGCCUCUUUUUUCUUUAGGGUGUUCAUUGAGUGUUAUUGAUUUGCAAAAGC
rnacentral:lncRNA from 1 species